ensembl:lncRNA
UUCUCUAUUUUCAGGUAGAUGCAUUUUAUUACUAUAUUCUAUCUGUCUGCUUAUUCUAUCUAUUCCAUUUAUCAUCUAUCUGUCAUCUGUAUUCCAUCUACCUAUCAUUGAUCUAUCUGUCAAUCUACAUUUUGUCUUGUAGAAAAACACUGACCUCUUGGCGAGAAUGCAGAGAAGGGAACGCUUAUACACUGUUGAUGAGAAUGUAAAAUUAUACAACUUCUAUGGAAAACAGUGAACUGUCACCCCUGCAACUCAGCCUGCAACCAGCCCUGGCCACCACCAGUUUCCCCACACUGAGCUGAAUAUUGGACAUGCCCAUCUUAGACAUUCCAGCCCAUUCUGAAAUUCCACAUCGAUUCACCCGACAAAGUCUGAAGUUCCAGGGCAAUUUUUUCUGGAAAAGCUCACCUGGAAUCACGUGUCAUUUCAACCAACAACUAUGGAAGAGGAUGUGGCAUCAAAACCAAGGUGUUGGAGACCAGGAAUCUGAGCUCAAGUUGUGGGCAGGGCCGGACUCCCGCUGGAGGCUCUAGGGGAGGAGCCAUCCUGCCUCUUCCAGCUCUUGGUGGUUCCAGGCAUCGACGCUGUCACAGGACAAAGGGCCCUGGGUGCCGACUUCCUGGGAAGGGCCCUGCCCCGUUGCGGUUUGGGGUCCCCCGCGAGGCUACCCCUGGGUCUCCCCGGGGGGGCGCUCGGAGAGGUGGAGCCGCCCCCGCAGCCCCAGCGAGUCUCCCCGACCUGCCCGAUGCCUUCCCUGGAAGGCCGACGGCUGCUCUAGGAGACCGCCCUCCACCCCCCGGGCCUGGGGCGUCCGACGUCACAAAACCUGCGCGUCACCUCGCCUGGGGGACCUCGUGCGCCCUCCCAGGCAGCGACCGCAGGGACACUGGCCUCCGUUUGCCCAGCGGCAGGUCCUAGGCGUGGAAAGUACACAUUUCUCCUAGUUCGCCCGCCCCCUCCGGCUCGGAGCCCAAGAGCCGCCUGCUCUCAAUCGGAUAAUACGGACGCUAAGCAUAACUACUAGGACCAGGACCAGCACCGCGAAGGCGCUCCUCUCGUGGGUCAGAGGUCGGCGCCCCUGCUCCGCAGCACCCAGCACCCGCCCAGGGACCCCCGGUGGCCUCGGGCCUCCAGUCCCGCCCCGAGCUCCCGAAGCCCGCCGGCCUCCCAGGCCCGCCCCUAGGCCUGCGGCGCAGCUUCGCCGGCGGGGAGGGCCUGCAGGCCGCAAAGCUGCGCGAAUGUCCCGCGCCCUCCGUCCACCUUCCUCAGACCAGCGGCGCCUCUCACCGGGCUUCGAGGGCUGCGCGGCUCUGCGACUGCGGUUCUCCGCCCGAGCGGGAAGGCGACGGCGGCUCGGACUCCGAGCCCAGCCCAGCUGCGAGGGCCGACGGGAGGCGGACGCGCCCACGGCUUAGGCGGGCGCUACUGAGGGGGCGUCUGAUUGCGGGCUCCGCGGCGGCACCUCUCCGGCAAGAGCCCUAGGUACACUGCGUUCAGUGCGGCUCCGGCCCCUAGGAACCAGGAGCGACUGCGGCGGACGGCAGCCGUACGCUACGUUCCCCCGCCCAUUGCCCCCGCCUUUUCCGCGACCGCCAUUGGCCCUUCCCGGCCGGCCGCUGUGCACGUCAUGGCGUCGGAAGGAAAUACGCCAAUGGGGUGAAGGGGUCAAGCUGAAUUUACAGGCUCUGCGUUCGCCCUGAGGCGGUACUAGGAGGGCGUUCCCGGUAACGAUUGGACAGGAUCUUGUGCAAGGGCGCCCCCGAUAAUAGAAGUAACUGGAGUGGCUGUCUCCGUCGCAAAGUGGGCGGGUCUUGCAUUGUCGGGCCUGACGAUUGGUCUUUCCAAGUGUCGGAAGCGACAGGCAUAUGGUCUGGAAACAACCUGUGGUAUCGAAUCCCUGAGAGCUAAAACGUCCGCUCACUGGCUGGAGAAUCCCGUAACCGCCACAUACCCGUGGUCUUUUGCCAGCCGUCGGGCACCUGGGUCCUCGUUCGCCCUGGCCUCCGGAAAGCCCGGCUCGUGGCAGCACUACCCUGGUGCGGCGGCGAGAGGAGGGGACCGGGGCCUCGGGGCGGGUGGCGGCCGCAGCGCGAGAGCCCUGGGCCUCGCGCUCUCAGAGCCUGAGCCGCAGGCCCUGCCUUGCUAGUUCUCCGACACGCAAAAAAGGUGUUGAACUGGUGUGGGGAUAGAAGAUUUGGGUGCGGUUCACUUGACACCACCCAAUUUCUAAAUUAGCCAUAUUUUCUGAGUAGUUCUACCAACAAAGGUCAAACUGGAGCCAAGUGCUGUAAUCCCAGCACUUUGGGAGGACCAGGUGAGAGGGUAUAUUGAAGCCAAGAGUUCGAGACCAGCCUGGGCAACAUAGCAAGACUGUCUCUACAAAAAGUUUUUGGUUUUUGGAUUUUUUCAGACAGAGUUUCCCUCUGUCGCCGAGGCUGGAGUGCGGUGGCACGAUCUCAGCUCACUGCAACCUCCGCCUCCCGGGUUCAAGGAGUUCUGCCUCAGCUUCCCGAGUAGCUGGGAUUACAGGCGCCCUCCACCACGCCUGGUUAAUUUUUGCGUAUUUCCCAGAGACGGGGUUUCACCAUGUAGGCCAGGCUGGUCUUGAACUCCUGACCUCAAGUGAUCCACCUCCCCCGGCCUCCAAAAGUGCUGGGAUUACAGGCGUGAGCCACGGCGCCCAGCCACAAAGUUUUAAAAUUACCCUGGCAUGGCGGUGCGUCCUGGUAGACCCAACUACUUGGGAGACUGCGAGACGGGAGGAUUGCUUGAGGCCAGGAAUUGGAGACUUGCUUGGGCGUCCUAAGAGACUCCAUAUCUAGAAAAAAUAAACAAACAAAUAAAUAUAUGUAUAUAUUAGCU